GAUGAACGCUUGCGGCGUGCCUAAUACAUGCAAGUCGAGCGAACAGCUGAGGAGCUUGCUCCUCUGACGUUAACGACGGAAGGGUGAGUAACACGUCGAGAACCUACCUAUAAGACUGAGAUAACUUCGGGAAACCGGAGCUAGUACCGGAUAAUAUAUUGGAUCGAAUGGUUCAGUAGUGAAAGACGGUUUUGCUGUCCCGUAUUGGUGGUCCCGCGCCGACUUAGCUCGUUGGUAGGGUACCGGCUUACCGAAGGAACGAUGCGUAGCCGACCGGAGAGACAUCUCUGCCCCAGUGGAUCUGAGACACGGUCCAGACACCUACGGGAUGCAGCAGUCGGGAAUCUUCCGCAAUGGGCGAAAGCCUGGCGGAGCAACGCCGCGGGAGUGAAGAAGGUCUUCGGAUUGUAAAACUCGGUUAUUAGGGAAGAACAAAUGUGUAAGGAAAUAGGCACGUCUUGUCGGUACCCAAUCAGAAAGCCACGGCUAACUACGUG
rnacentral:rRNA from 1 species